AGAGGGUUAGCGUAAAAGGUAGCGCAACGGACUUUGACUCCGUGUGAAGAGGUUCGAACCCUCUACUCUCUACCA
rnacentral:tRNA from 1 species